GAGCGUGCAGGAUCAGAGACUGGCCCUGGAACAGCAGUGGAUCCACCACCACCACCACCACUCCCUCACCCAGGACGAGUACUACAGCCACUUAAAGAAGGAAAGCGACAAGACCCUGUGAGGGAGGAAAAAGAGAGGGG